UACGUAGGGUCCGAGCGUUGUCCGGAAUUAUUGGGCGUAAAGGGCUCGUAGGCGGUUUGUCGCGUCGGGAGUGAAAACCUACAGCUUAACUGUGGGCUUGCUUUCGAUACGGGCAGACUUGAGGCAUGCAGGGGAGAACGGAAUUCCUGGUGUAGCGGUGAAAUGCGUAGAUAUCUGGAGGAACACCGGUGGCGAAGGCGACAUCCUGGACCGGUAUUGACGCUGAGGCGCGAAAGCCAGGGGAGCAAACGGG
rnacentral:rRNA from 1 species